GCACGACCGGACAUAACGACCUUAACGGGACCGCCGUUAAAAGACAUCCACACGCAGUUGCGCAGGUGGAGAUUGAUAACUGAAAGGGACGUACGGGCAGAUCCUAUAAUGACCACCCUCUUCCGCAAAGCCAUCGGGGAGGGGAUGUCACAAGAAGUGGGGCGCCACCUCGAUGAGGUGGUGGGACUGAAUACCAUGGCACACAGAGAAUUUGUGGAUCAUGUGGUGCACGCUGUAGAAAGGCAGCGGAAAGAGGGAAAAAAGCUGGAAGAUCAAACAAAAGACAUUCAAAGAAAGCUACUGCAGUUGCAGCUGGAGGAGCUGAAAGCCAAAGAAAAAAGGGCGAGAGAAAUAAAAGAGCUGGAUAAAGAAAAAGAGGCGAAAAAAGUGGCAUCUGUGAAAAUACAGAUAUAUGGACAAUGGAUUCUUUGACUUUGAAGCAACCCCCGCGCCUGAACCAUGGAGCAGCCUGAUGGUGCCCCAGCUGACGGUGAUCUACAACUUCUCCAGCAUCCCUCACCCACUGGCCAUGCAAGGUAAUAUGCAAGGGGGGGGGGGGGUCACAACCGGGUGGGAAUCAAAUGGGGGGAGGGCCAGGGAAUGGUGGUCAAAAGAAUCAGUGGAAGGGGCAGCAGAAUCAGAAUAACAACAUGAAAAAUAGCAGUUGGAACCAACAAGGCUUUCCUAACCAACAGAGACAGGGCUCCAUAGUUUGCUAAGGAUGUGGUCAGGAGGGGCACAUAAAAAGACGGUGUCCGAACGCACAAGGGAUGUACCCAGGUAACCAGGGGACCUGGGUACCAAAUCAGCCUCAGCAACCGCAGGGUUACCCCCAUUUGGCCCCACCUCCCCAGGCUAGGCCCCCAUAUCAGAGUGGGGAACCUGUAAAUUACCAAGGUGCCCAAUAGGGGUGACCAGAGAACCCAGGCAGAGUAGGACAGCAUGUAAUGAUAACAAACGGGCCAGAACAAGAACAUAUAAUAAAUGUACAAAUCGGAGGAAAAAUUGUCCCCAUGAUGAUAGAUACUGGGGCAACAUGCACAUGCAUUAGGAAAGAAUAUGCCUCACAUCUGCCACUGUCGGGAGAAGUUAUUCAAACAGUAGGGUUCUCGGGGAAAACAAUGUUAAGCCCGACCACAAAACCGGUAUUAAUAAAAAUAGGCGCAAAAGAAGCAAAAUUAGAGGUAAUAGUAUGCAAAAAUUCCCCCGUAAGCCUUCUAGGAAGAGAUGCAAUUCUAGCCUUAGGAAUAAAAUUAAACUGUGAAGGAGGGGGCAUAGAUUUAACAGGAAUGUACUAUAUGAGAAGUGAAAACCUCCACAUGGCAAAUGUAUAUUGGGUAGGGGAUAUUGACACACAAGUAAAAGACCAAGUGUGGAGCACUUGGCAAAAAUAUGUUGAGGCUCAGAUCCCGCAGGCAACUGAGCCAGAAUAUGACUUAUAUUGUACAAUGAGGUUUGAUCCCUACCAGGAUCCAGAUCUAGAAAGAGAGUGAAGUAAGGGAAAAGGAGAAAGACAAUAUUUAGUGUCAACUGCGCUCCUGAUAGGACAGGAAGGAGCAGCAUUAAACAUAGCAAGGACCCCAUGGAUUGAGCAGUGGUUUCAGGAGGAACAUGCGGCCCCACACAUAACGUUGAAAGUCAAUCCAGGGUACCAAGCUAAGGACUUAGGUCCUAUGAUUAAGAGAGCAGAAGAGCUCCAAUUCGGGCCAACAGAAAAUUAUUUCAUUUGGUGCACAGCAGAUCAAAAAAUUAUCAAAAUUAUGGUAAGCGCUCAGAUGUGGGGAAAGCCCCAAAUGGUGAGGGUACCGUGGGAAGAGGGUACAAAACGGGAGAAAUCUAGAGAAAAUUUGGGCAUAGAAGAACAUUUAAACCAAUUACCAAGCCAACUAUGGUCGCAACAUGACACUGAUGUAGGUAAAGUGAAAUCGGCAAACCCGGUUGAAGUGUACUUAAAACCAGGCUGUAAAGGUCCAUUUAAAUUACAAUAUCCUUUAAAAAAGAGAAGCAGUGGAGCAAGUGAGAAAAACCAUAGGUCUGUUAAAAUCAGGAGUGCUUAGAGCAACGCAAAGUCCAUAUAAUACACCUUUACUGCCUGUACGAAAAGCAGAUGGGGAAAAAUGGAGAUUGGUGCAUGAUCUGAGAGCAGUAAAUGAUGUAGUGCAGGAAAUGACAACAGAAGUGACUAAUCCUCAUACUUUGUUAACCAAUGUUCCUCAUACUGCAAAAUGGUUUACAGUAAUAGAUCUGUGUUCUGCCUUUUUCAGCGCUCCGUUGGCCGAACAAAGCCAAGAGCUGUUUGCCUUUACAUUUGAAAACCGGCAAUAUACGUACAACAGAAUGCCGCAGGGGUUUAAACAUUCGCCGCAUGUGUUCAACCAAGUGUUAAAAGAUGACUUACAAGGUUUGGACCUCAAAAGUGUGGUGUUGCAAUAUGUUGAUGACUUAUUACUAUGUGCAGAUACAAAAGAGCAGUGCAUAAGCGACAGCAUGAAACUGCUGGAGAAACUGGCAAAGGGGGGGCACAAGGUGUCCAGGAAGAAGCUGCAGCUCUGCUCUCAGGAGGUGGAGUACUUGGGAAGAGUAAUCACGGCUGGCGGUAAGAGAAUGUCAAAUAAACAGUUGGAGACAAUAAUGAAAGUUCCGCAACCACAGACAGUGGGACAAAUGAUGACAUUCUUAGGAAUGACGGGUUUUAGCACGGAUUGGGUGGAAGGGUAUUCUGAAAAAACGCAACCACUAAGAAAGAUAAUGAAGGAGGUUAGGCAAGAAAAACUGUCGAAUAAAGGAUGAGGGGGAAGUUGGCUGGCAAAAAUAGGACCUGCAGUGGGGAUAACACUGAUAGUGGUACUGGUGUUGCUGUCUUGUAUCCUCCCUCUCUUGAGAUCCUCUCUCCAUAGGGCUAUAGGCAUCCAAUUGGUGUCAUACAGGGUGACUAACGCAGGAGCCAGGCGCCAGACGGGUGAUUCCAGUUUCCGGCGGACGAUGUCACAGUCCAGGGAGACGGGGAGAGCGGAGGGACUGCGGGCGCUGACACCAGUCCAGGGAGCAACAGCACCAACAGUGCCCCUACGGGUCCAGUACGACAAUCGCAAGCUGGCUUUCCAGUGGAGUGACGUGCAGACCGCGUACUCUGGUUGGAAGAUAUACCAGGAACCCACCAACUACGAGGACUGCGGCAAAUCAUCGUGCUACGAAUCAACGUGUUAAGAAAAUUAAAGGAGUGUAUGAUAACUUUGUUGGGUCACUUAGAAUAAUACAUACAGCUUUGAUAUGUUUAAUCAAAUUUUGCGACGGCAGAGAGUGUUGGAGGAACCAUGGGAACAAUGUUACAUUGAGGAAUCUGAUACAUUUGGAUGCUGCUAUGGCAGCAGGGGAUGUGCAGGCACCCAACGUAGUAUACAUGGGGUGGUGCACACCCGACGCUGUCUGACGCUGAGAAUAAGAAUACAGCGAGGGGAGUCUUUUGGGGCCAUAAGGUCUGACCCCGAAAGGGGGGAAAUGUAGGAAAAUUUUGAGACUCCCCAUGAUUGUGAUGGCGUCACAUGUUAAAGUUAGGGAAUUCCCAUCAAUGUUGAUCAAACUGGUUCCUCCAAACUCUCGAUGCUUCAUGAUAAAAAUAUAUCACAUGUAUAACUAUACACUCAUAUAAUCAAUAUGUAAUCCAAUAAACCUAUAUCAGUAGUUGCAGCUAAGCUUAUGGAAAUGCAAGAAACCACAGUAUCCACUGUAGAAAAAAAGCAAACGUAGAAGGCUUAAAAAACCACACUUACUCACUCAGCAGAAAACACUAACCAAAUACUAAUCAUACACUACUGCCAAAAACUUCAGCAGAUAACACUAACCAAAAACUAAUCAUACACUACUGCCAAAAUACAGCAGAGAACAAUAAUCCAAAACUAACAAAACACUAUUGCCAAAUAAAAGUGCUAGAAGACUGAUAUUUUUACAGUGACCCUUAUGUAAACUGAAUACAAAUGGAAAAUUACAGGAGGCUAUAACUCUGUAACUUGUAUGCUUAAUGGAAAAUUACAGAAUAAAGACUAAUAUAUGUUUAAGGGAAAGUUGGGGUAACAUUCCACAAUAACGUUAUCAUCUAAGAACAGAAAAUCAUUGUGGUGCCAAGAAGGACAGAUGGCUGGUAUUUUAAGAAAUGUGUUAAGGGGAGUUGUGGGGUACAUUUGUGUAUAAAAUGAAUGUAAAACUGACAAUCGAGGUUCAAUUUGGCGGAAUUGAUCUGGCUUUAUGCACCUGUGCAAAUAAAGUCUAACUUUUCCAAAGAG